UUCAAAAGGAGACGGAGCCAGCGGGCAACACGAUCUAGAUAUACGAUUACGGGGCACCGAAAGUUUGUCAAAAUUUUAAAGAGCCCGACCUCUCUGGCUGCCUCUCAAAAUUUAUGCCAAUUUGUGACUCCGUCGCUGGCUUAUAAAAACAAAAUACCUCGCGUUGUUUUAUCGCCGUUCGCUUUUUGGCUUCGAAUUCGGAAAAAUGAUCUGAUUUAUAUUUGACACAAUGGUCUGUUACAAAUAUCGCACGUCCGAGGGAAACAGGGACAUUCUGAAAUUCUAAUUCGAGUUAAUUAAACACGGUCCCCGAAAAACUCGACGACAAUCAGAUACAAGGCACGAAUGAAACGGAGUUGGAAGUGUCCAAGGAGAAACUCUGGACUGGUUCCUCCUAUCGCAGCCAUCGAUUUUGAGAACCCACGCUAAAGGGUAUUUAAACACAAUCGUUUUGAAUACCCGAAACCAAACUCAAUAUUUAUUAGCCGAAAACGAAAUUUUAAUGAACCGCAAAUAAAAUCGAUAUGGAAGCCGAAGGCACGAAUGAAAUAAUGAAGUGCGGAGGUCCGAUCCCCGGCAGAAAUUAUCAAAACAAAGUUCGUGCCUGGCCAGGAAUCAGGAAUCUUGGCCCUGCUCUCUGAAGUUCCUUGUCUGAUCCCAAAACUGAUCUGCUCGAUUCCCCUUCCCGUUCCCGUUUUGCCUCCAUUCGAGAUCGAGUUUCGCUGGGGCUUGUGAUUUUCUUAUUUAUUGAUUUUCUACAAUAAAUUUCGCAUGUUUGCA